rnacentral:lncRNA from 1 species
GAAUUUGGAGCAGGAUCUGACUGCCCUGUAUGUCUCCCACUCAAGGCUGGCACGUCAGUGUGAAAGGGUGCUCAGGAGACCCUGGCUCCCAAAUGAUAAGACGCUUCACACCCUCUGGCCUCCUUCCCUUCCACCUCCAUCCAGGAUGACUCUAUCCUGCUGCUUGUAUAGGGAUGGGCUUCCCCAUCUUGGCCCCAGAACUGGUCCCCCAGAGAACAGGUUGCCUUGGCGAGGAUAUAGUGAUGAGGGUGCAGAACCUUGAGCUGCAUUGCUCACUUGUCCCUGGGUGGCUUCUAGAAUGUAGGACUCCAUUGCAGUUCUUCCUUCCGGGUCUGUCUACACUUGCACUGUGGGACUCUCCCCUAAGAACCCUGAGUGUCCACGUGAACCUUCUCAGUCUCUCCCUGGGGAUGUGUACAACCAAGAGAAACAGCCCUUUCCCUUCUUGGCCACCGAGUCAUUCCUGGGCUGUGGCUGGGACUUUUCCUUCCAAGUUGCAUUAUCCAACUCCCACCCCAGGAUCUCCACUGGUACCCAGAUGCCCUUAGACCCUUUCAUCUGGAAGCUCUUCAAACACCUCACAAACAGAUAUCAUUAUCUCCGCUGUCAGCCGAGGAACAGGAUUUGGGAGGUACGACAGGGUCAUUUGAGGAAAGGGAGGCAGAGUACUACUGUCUGAUCCUGGGGAUGGGGUUGGAUAGAGCCAGCUGAACACCCUGGGUGCCCAGAAGAGAAAAGGAAGAGGGCUAUUGCUAUAGUUUAAGGGAAACUAGUUGGGGAUAACUAUGGCUUUUAGUGGGUGGAUGGAUAAGAAAAGAGCUCUCUCCCUAGAAAAGUCAACCUAACAAAGUCACCCUGUUCACCCCAAAAAUAUGGUUUGCAAGAGAUGUAGGUCUGUGCAGGUGACCCAAGAAGGAAGCUUUCCUUUCCUAUUGUCCUUCAGGCACCUCCAAGGGAGCAGGAGUCCCUCACACAGGCAGGUUCCCGGUGGACAGAGCAGGGAGUGACAGAAAAAUCAAGUUUCUAUGAAUAGCUGCCACUUCCAAGAAGCCGGGCUCUCCUUCCUGCCUCUGGGUGCAGCCAGCUGUUUGGAAAGCUGGGCAAGAUUAGCACCUCUAACAGGACUGGGAAGUCUCUAAGGUGGCCUCAGGAACAGAAGGGUAAGAGGCCCUUCUACCCUUGCCAAGACAAAUCUGUGCCCCAGCUUGCCUAUCUCCAAUCUCCUGCACCCCUGCAUGACAAACCUGGGAAGAACCAAUCAGGUCCUCUUCCACGACUGGCUUCAAGGGUCUAGCCUUGCUGUUCUCUGUAAUCACUGCCACCAGGAACACCU